rnacentral:rRNA from 1 species
UGGGGAAUAUUGCACAAUGGGCGCAAGCCUGAUGCAGCCAUGCCGCUUGUAUGAAGAAGGCCUUCGGGUUGCAAAGUACUUUCAGUCGGGAGGAAGGUGGUAAGGUUAAUAACCUUAUCAAUUGACGUUACCGACAGAAGAAGCCCCGGCUAACUCCGUGCCAGCAGCCGCUGUAAUACGGAGGGUGCAAGCGUUAAUCGGAAUUACUGGGCGUAAAGCGCACGCAGGCGGUUGAUUGAGUCAGAUGUUAAAUCCCCGGGCUUAACCCGGGGAAUGCAUUUGGUAAUGGUCAGCUAGAGUAGUGUAAGGGGGGGUAGAAUUCAAUGUGUAGCGGUGAAAUGCGUAGAGUUGUGGAGGAAUACCGGGGGCGGAGGCGGCCCCCUGGACAAAGACUGACGCUCAGGUGCGAAAGCGUGGGGAGCAAACAGG